rnacentral:siRNA from 1 species
GGAAUAGGUCACAAGACAAACU